rnacentral:rRNA from 1 species
AUUGAACGCUAGCGGGAUGCUUUACACAUGCAAGUCGAACGAGUGGCGGACGGGUGAGUAAUAUAUCGGAACGUGCCCAGUAGCGGGGGAUAACUACUCGAAAGAGUGGCUAAUACCGCAUACUAUCGGAACGGCCGAUAUCGGAUUCGCUAGUUGGUGGGGUAAAGGCCCACCAAGGCAACGAUCCGUAGCUGGUUUGCGAGGACGACCAGCCACACUGGGACUGAGAAACGGCCCAGGCUCCGACGGGAGGCAGCAGUGGGGAAUUGUGGACAAUGGGGGAAACCCUGAUCCAGCCAUCCCGCGUGUAUGAGAAGGCCUUCGGGGUGUAAAGAAAUUUUGGCAGGGAAGCGGUAUCUGCAGAAUAAGCACCGGCUAACUACGGGCCAGCAGACGCGGUAAUAC